rnacentral:rRNA from 1 species
UAGCAAUACUCUGCCGGCGACCGGCGGAAGGGUGCGUAACACGUGAGCAACUUGCCCGUAACUGGGGGAUAACCGGAGGAAACUUCGCCUAAUACCCCAUAACAAUGGAAUUUGCAUGGAUUUCAUUUAAAAGAUUUAUUGGUUACGGAUGGGCUCGCGGGACAUUAGCUAGUCGGCGGGGUAAUGGCCCACCGAGGCUACGAUGUCUAGGGGUUCUGAGAGGAAGAUCCCCCACACUGGAACUGAGACACGGUCCAGACUCCUACGGGAGGCAGCAGUGAGGAAUAUUGGACAAUGGGGGCAACCCUGAUCCCAGCCAUGCCGCGUGAAGGGAUGGAGGCCCUAUGGGUCGUAAACUUCUUUUGUCGCAGAGCAAUAAGGGCUACGAGUAGUCCGAUGAGAGUAUGCGACGAAUAAGCAUCGGCUAACUCCGUGCCAGCAGCCGCGGUAAUACGGAGGAUGCGAGCGUUAUCCGGAUUUAUUGGGUUUAAAGGGUGCGCAGGCGGCGUACCAAGUCAGCGGUGAAAUCCCUGGGCUCAACCUAGGACCUGCCGUUGAUACUGGUAUGCUCGAGUCACCUUGCCGUGGGGGGAAUGAGUGGUGUAGCGGUGAAAUGCUUAGAUAUCACUCAGAACACCGAUUGCGAAGGCACCUCACGAAGGGUAGACUGACGCUCAGGCACGAAAGCGUGGGGAUCGAACAGGAUUAGAUACCCUGGUAGUCCACGCCGUAAACGAUGAUGGCUAACCGCCGGCGAUACACUGUCGGUGGCUAAGCGAAAGCGAUAAGCCAUCCACCUGGGGAGUACGACCGCAAGGUUGAAACUCAAAGGAAUUGACGGGGGCCCGCACAAGCGGAGGAUCAUGUGGUUUAAUUCGAUGAUACGCGAGGAACCUUACCCGGGCUCGAACGGCAGGUGAACGAUCAGAGAUGGAGAGGACUCCGGGGCCCC